UACGAAGGGUGCAAGCGUUACUCGGAAUUACUGGGCGUAAAGCGUGCGUAGGUGGUUCGUUAAGUCCGAUGUGAAAGCCCUGGGCUCAACCUGGGAAUGGCAUUGGAUACUGGCGGGCUAGAGUGCGGUAGAGGAUGGCGGAAUUCCCGGUGUAGCAGUGAAAUGCGUAGAGAUCGGGAGGAACAUCCGUGGCGAAGGCGGCCAUCUGGACCAGCACGUGACAC
rnacentral:rRNA from 1 species